rnacentral:rRNA from 1 species
AACGAACGCUGGCGGCAUGCCUAACACAUGCGAGUCGAACGAGACCUUCGGGUCUAGUGGCGCACGGGUGCGUAACGCGUGGGAACCUGCCCUUAGGUUCGGAAUAACUCCCCGAAAGGGGUGCUAAUACCGGAUAAUGUCUUCGGGCCAAAGAUUUAUCGCCUUUGGAUGGGCCCGCGUUGGAUUAGCUAGUUGGUAGGGUAAAAGCCUACCAAGGCGACGAUCCAUAGCUGGUCUGAGAGGAUGAUCAGCCACACUGGGACUGAGACACGGCCCAGACUCCUACGGGAGGCAGCAGUGGGGAAUAUUGGACAAUGGGCGAAAGCCUGAUCCAGCAAUGCCGCGUGAGUGAUGAAGGCCUUAGGGUUGUAAAGCUCUUUUACCCGGGAUGAUAAUGACAGUACCGGGAGAAUAAGCUCCGGCUAACUCCGUG